rfam:Acidobacteria bacterium 13_2_20CM_58_27 13_2_20cm_scaffold_6875, whole genome shotgun sequence.
AAAGAGCUGUACGGUGAAGGCCCAGCGAGCCACACCGACCCCGAGUCAUGUGUGGUCAGUCGAAAGGCUGGCCAUGAAGCGUUGACAGGGGCACAUGCAGGCGGAGCAUUGAGCCGCGAAAUAUCUGGAAAUCAGGAUGCUGACGCUGUCUAUUCGGCGGGAAGGCAACACUGGUGGGCGCGACAUCGCGAGCACCCACUGGACCUGCGAGGUCAAAGACGU